UGGGGAAUCUUCCGCAAUGGACGAAAGUCUGACGGAGCAACGCCGCGUGAGUGAUGACGGCCUUCGGGUUGUAAAGCUCUGUUAAUCGGGACGAAAGGCCUUCUUGCGAAUAGUGAGAAGGAUUGACGGUACCGGAAUAGAAAGCCACGGCUAACUACGUGCCAGCAGCCGCGGUAAUACGGAGGAUGCGAGCGUUAUUCGGAAUCAUUGGGUUUAAAGGGUCUGUAGGCGGGCUAUUAAGUCAGGGGUGAAAGGUUUCAGCUUAACUGAGAAAUUGCCUUUGAUACUGGUAGUCUUGAAUAUCUGUGAAGUUCUUGGAAUGUGUAGUGUAGCGGCGAAAUGCUUAGAUAUUACACAGAACACCGAUUGCGAAGGCAGGGGACUAACAGACAAUUGACGCUGAGAGACGAAAGCGUGGGGAGCGAACAGGAUUAGAUACCCUGGUAGUCCACGCUGUAAACGAUGGAUACUAGCUGUUUGGCGCAAGCUGAGUGGCUAAGCGAAAGUGAUAAGUAUCCCACCUGGGGAGUACGCACGCAAGUGUG
rnacentral:rRNA from 1 species